rnacentral:rRNA from 1 species
AUUGAACGCUGGCGGCAUGCUUAACACAUGCCAGUCGAACGGUAACAGGCCGCUUGGUGCUGGCGUGUGGCGCACGGGGGUGUAAUGCACCUGAACGUGUGCCGUCGUGGGGGGUAACUAGUCGGAAGAGGAGCGAAUAUCGCACACGCGCUAUGAGUGAGAACGGGGGACCUCAUGGCACCGCGCGAUUUCAGCUGCGGAUGUCAGAUUAGGGAGUUGGUGGGGUAAAGGCUCACCAAGCCAACGAUCUGCAUCUGGUCUGUGAGGACGACCAGCCACACGGGAACUGGAACACGGCCCGGACUCCUACGGGAGGAAGCAGUGGGGAAUUUUGGACAAUGGGCGAAAGCCUGAUCCAGCAAUGCGGCGUGCAGGAAGAGGGCCUUCGGGUUGUAAACUGCUUUUGUACGGAGCGAAACGGGUCUGGUAAAUCCCCGCGGUUAAUGCCGGUACAGCAGGAUUAAGCCCCGGCAACCUACGUG